rnacentral:rRNA from 1 species
UUAUAGCAAAGAGGAUACACCUGUUCCCAUUCCGAACACAGAAGUUAAGCUCUUUAGCGCCGAUGGUACUUGGUGGGAAGCUGCCUGGGAGAGUAGGACGUAG